rnacentral:rRNA from 1 species
GGCUCAGGAUGAACGCUGGCGGCGUGCUUAACACAUGCAAGUCGAACGAUGAUCCCAGCUUGCUGGGGGAUUAGUGGCGAACGGGUGAGUAACACGUGAGUAACCUGCCCUUGACUCUGGGAUAAGCCUGGGAAACUGGGUCUAAUACCGGAUACGACCAUUCCACGCAUGUGGUGGUGGUGGAAAGCUUUUGUGGUUUUGGAUGGACUCGCGGCCUAUCAGCUUGUUGGUGGGGUAAUGGCCUACCAAGGCGACGACGGGUAGCCGGCCUGAGAGGGUGACCGGCCACACUGGGACUGAGACACGGCCCAGACUCCUACGGGAGGCAGCAGUGGGGAAUAUUGCACAAUGGGCGCAAGCCUGAUGCAGCGACGCCGCGUGAGGGAUGACGGCCUUCGGGUUGUAAACCUCUUUCAGUAGGGAAGAAGCGAAAGUGACGGUACCUGCAGAAGAAGCGCCGGCUAACUACGUGCCAGCAGCCGCGGUAAUACGUAGGGCGCAAGCGUUAUCCGGAAUUAUUGGGCGUAAAGAGCUCGUAGGCGGUUUGUCGCGUCUGCUGUGAAAGACCGGGGCUCAACUCCGGUUCUGCAGUGGGUACGGGCAGACUAGAGUGCAGUAGGGGAGACUGGAAUUCCUGGUGUAGCGGUGAAAUGCGCAGAUAUCAGGAGGAACACCGAUGGCGAAGGCAGGUCUCUGGGCUGUAACUGACGCUGAGAGCGAA